UGGGGAAUAUUGGACAAUGGGCGCAAGCCUGAUCCAGCCAUGCCGCGUGUGUGAAGAAGGCCUUAUGGUUGUAAAGCACUUUAAGCGAGGAGGAGGCUACUUUAGUUAAUACCUAGAGAUAGUGGACGUUACUCGCAGAAUAAGCACCGGCUAACUCUGUGCCAGCAGCCGCGGUAAUACAGAGGGUGCAAGCGUUAAUCGGAUUUACUGGGCGUAAAGCGCGCGUAGGCGGCUAAUUAAGUCAAAUGUGAAAUCCCCGGGCUUAACUUGGGAAUUGCAUUCGAUACUGGUUAGCUAGAGUGUGGGAGAGGAUGGUAGAAUGCCAGGUGUAGCGGUGAAAUGCGUGGAGAUCUGGAGGAAGACCGAUGGCGAAGGCAGCCAUCUGGCCUAACACUGACGCUGAGGUACGAAAGCAUGGGGAGCAAACAGG
rnacentral:rRNA from 1 species